UACGUAGGUGGCAAGCGUUGUCCGGAAUCAUUGGGCGUAAAGAGCGUGUAGGCGGUUCGGUAAGUCGGCUGUGAAAGUUCAGGGCUCAACCCUGGGAUGCCGGUCGAUACUGCCGGACUAGAGUUCGGAAGAGGCGAGUGGAAUUCCCGGUGUAGCGGUGAAAUGCGCAGAUAUCGGGAGGAACACCUAUGGCGAAGGCAGCUCGCUGGGACGUUACUGACGCUGAGACGCGAAAGCGUGGGGAGCAAACAGG
rnacentral:rRNA from 1 species